AGCAUGCUGCGUUCUGUGAAGGUCACCUGGCCAUUUGCAUCCACAAGGAUAAUGGUGUUGGUUCUGAAAGACAAUGUUUUCCAUGAAGCCCCUGGCACCAGUCCCGACUGUCAGAGCCACAGCUGAAGUGGAAUGAGCAAGCCCACCAAGCCUGGGCCCUGUUCUAGGCCCUCAGCUUCGGCCUAAGGCAGGGGCUGGGGUCGUAGAUGAAUAGCAGCCUUAACCAUGGGGUCAGGAAGGAGCUUGUCAGGGGCAUCUGGGCUCCCCGGGUAGCCCUCCAGGCCCACGAUGGGACUCCGUCAUUAAGCCCAGCCAGCUAGAUGCCACACACACUUUAUGGCUGCCCCAGAGUUGCCCUGUGAAAAUCUGUCUGCAUGACAGGAGUGUGCUUGAGACCAGAGACUUCCCAGUCACCACAAAAGGCAGCAGAGCUGCAGCCAUCAAUGAGAACAGCCAACGACCAUCACAGAACUGCCCAGGAUGACGCAGUGACCCACCACUGUGUGGACCGACGGCCCGCUCAGCCUCUACAUCAUACGCCUCCAUCCAUGUGGCACAGGGGCGGACACAGCAUUCCACAUGCAGUGGAUGUUGGCGGCAUAGCGGACCUGCCCUCGUGGAAGGAAGUAGCUCAACAAGGGGAUCUGGACAUGAGCGCUAACUGCUCCUCACCCCGUCUGCCUGUCCUGGAGGAAGCCCCUUUAACCAGCAGCCCAUGGCUUGGAUGUGCCAGGCUUG